AUUUAAAGAAAGCGUAAUAGCUCACUGGUCGAGUCGGCCUGCGCGGAAGAUGUAACGGGGCUAAACCAUGCACCGAAGCUGCGGCAGCGACACUGUGUGUUGUUGGGUAGGGGAGCGUUCUGUAAGCCUGUGAAGGUGUGUCGUGAGGCAUGCUGGAGGUAUCAGAAGUGCGAAUGCUGACAUAAGUAACGAUAAAGCGGGUGAAAAGCCCGCUCGCCGGAAGACCAAGGGUUCCUGUCCAACGUUAAUCGGGGCAGGGUGAGUCGACCCCUAAGGCGAGGCCGAAAGGCGUAGUCGAUGGGAAACGGGUUAAUAUUCCCGUACUUGGUGUUACUGCGAAGGGGGGACGGAGAAGGCUAUGUUGGCCGGGCGACGGUUGUCCCGGUUUAAGCGUGUAGGUGUGUGUUCCAGGUAAAUCCGGUUCACUUUAACACUGAGGCGUGACGACGAGGCACUACGGUGCUGAAGCAACAAAUGCCCUGCUUCCAGGAAAAGCCUCUAAGCAUCAGGUAACAUCAAAUCGUACCCCAAACCGACACAGGUGGUCAGGUAGAGAAUACCAAGGCGCUUGAGAGAACUCGGGUGAAGGAACUAGGCAAAAUGGUGCCGUAACUUCGGGAGAAGGCACGCUGACACGUAGGUGAAGUGAUUUACUCAUGGAGCUGAAGUCAGUCGAAGAUACCAGCUGGCUGCAACUGUUUAUUAAAAACACAGCACUGUGCAAACACGAAAGUGGACGUAUACGGUGUGACGCCUGCCCGGUGCCGGAAGGUUAAUUGAUGGGGUCAGCGCAAGCGAAGCUCCUGAUCGAAGCCCCGGUAAACGGCGGCCGUAACUAUAACGGUCCUAAGGUAGCGAAAUUCCUUGUCGGGUAAGUUCCGACCUGCACGAAUGGCGUAAUGAUGGCCAGGCUGUCUCCACCCGAGACUCAGUGAAAUUGAACUCGCUGUGAAGAUGCAGUGUACCCGCGGCAAGACGGAAAGACCCCGUGAACCUUUACUAUAGCUUGACACUGAACAUUGAGCCUUGAUGUGUAGGAUAGGUGGGAGGCUUUGAAGUGUGGACGCCAGUCUGCAUGGAGCCGACCUUGAAAUACCACCCUUUAAUGUUUGAUGUUCUAACGUGGACCCGUUACCCGGGUUGCGGACAGUGUCUGGUGGGUAGUUUGACUGGGGCGGUCUCCUCCUAAAGAGUAACGGAGGAGCACGAAGGUUGGCUAAUCCUGGUCGGACAUCAGGAGGUUAGUGCAAUGGCAUAAGCCAGCUUGACUGCGAGCGUGACGGCGCGAGCAGGUGCGAAAGCAGGUCAUAGUGAUCCGGUGGUUCUGAAUGGAAGGGCCAUCGCUCAACGGAUAAAAGGUACUCCGGGGAUAACAGGCUGAUACCGCCCAAGAGUUCAUAUCGACGGCGGUGUUUGGCACCUCGAUGUCGGCUCAUCACAUCCUGGGGCUGAAGUAGGUCCCAAGGGUAUGGCUGUUCGCCAUUUAAAGUGGUACGCGAGCUGGGUUUAGAACGUCGUGAGACAGUUCGGUCCCUAUCUGCCGUGGGCGCUGGAGAACUGAGGGGGGCUGCUCCUAGUACGAGAGGACCGGAGUGGACGCAUCACUGGUGUUCGGGUUGUCAUGCCAAUGGCACUGCCCGGUAGCUAAAUGCGGAAGAGAUAAGUGCUGAAAGCAUCUAAGCACGAAACUUGCCCCGA
rnacentral:rRNA from 1 species